rnacentral:rRNA from 1 species
AUUGAACGCUGGCGGCAGGCCUAACACAUGCAAGUCGAGCGAGCGGCGGACGGGUGAGUAAUGUAUGGGGAUCUGCCCGAUGGAGGGGGAUAACUACUGGAAACGGUAGCUAAUACCGCAUACCAUCAGAUGAACCCAUAUGGGAUUAGCUAGUUGGUGGGGUAACGGCUCACCAAGGCGACGAUCCCUAGCUGGUCUGAGAGGAUGAGCAGCCACACUGGAACUGAGACACGGUCCAGACUCCUACGGGAGGCAGCAGUGGGGAAUAUUGCACAAUGGGCGCAAGCCUGAUGCAGCCAUGCCGCGUGUAUGAAGAAGGCCUUCGGGUUGUAAAGUACUUUCAGCGGGGAGGCGUUACCCGCAGAAGAAGCACCGGCUAACUCCGUGCCAGCAGCCGCGGUAAUUC